rnacentral:rRNA from 1 species
GCAGUUAAAAAGCUCGUAGUUGGAUUUCUGCAGGAGUGCCAAUGUCCGCCCACGUGCGUGUGCAGCGGCGCCCCUGCAUCCUUCGGUUACCUCCGCUCGGCAUUCACCUGCCGGCGGUAGGCUCCGAAUAUUUGCCUUGAGAAAAUUAGAGUGUUUCAGGCAGGCUAAGCCGGAAUACAUUAGCAUGGAAUAAUAGAAUAGGACUACGGUCUCGUUGUUGGUUUGAGGGACUGGAGUAAUGAUUAAUAGGGAUAGUUGGGGGCAUUAGUAUUUAAUUGUCAGAGGU